GACGAACGCUGGCGGCGUGCUUAACACAUGCAAGUCGAGCGGAGCGGCGAACGGGUGAGUAACGCGUGAGUAACUGCCCCCCUCUCUGGGAUAACAGUUGGAAACGGCUGCUAAUACCGGAUAGUGGGGGAUGAGUCGCGGCCUAUCAGCUUGAUGGUGGGGUAGUGGCAUACCAAGGCGACGACGGGUAGCCGGCCGGAGAGGGAGACCGGCCACAUUGGGCUGAGCUACGGCCAAAACGCCUACGGGAGGCAGCAGUGGGGAAUAUAGCACAAUGGGGGAAACCCCGAUGCAGCAACGCCGCGUUCGGGAUGACGGCCUUCGUGGUGGAAACCGCUUUCCGCCAUGACGCGGUAGUGGCAGAAGAACCACCGGCUAACUACGUCCCGGCGGCCGCGGUAAUU
rnacentral:rRNA from 1 species